rnacentral:rRNA from 1 species
CGCAAUGGGCGAAAGCCUGACGGAGCGACGCCGCGUGAUUGAUGAAGUCCCUUUGGGACGUAAAGAUCUUUUAUGAGGGAAGAAGUUUAUUGACGGUACCUCAUGAAUAAGAGGCUCCUAAUCUCGUGCCAGCAGGAGCGGUAAUACGAGAGCCUCGAGCGUUAUCCGGAAUUAUUGGGCGUAAAGGGUGCGUAGGUUGUUUUGUUAGUCAAUUGUUAAAACCCCGAGCUUAACUUUGGGCAGGCGAUUGAAACGGCAAAACUUGAAAGUGUGAGAGGCGUACGGAACUCAUGGUGUAGGGGUGAAAUCCGUUGAUAUCAUGGGGAACACCGAAAGCGAAGGCAGUACGCUGGCGCAUAUUUGACACUGAAGCACGAAAGCGU